AAUCUGCUGGGGACUUAAUCUUGGAGUUUCCAGUCUCCAGAAUUAUAAGAAAUAAAUUUCUAUUAUUUAUAAAUUAACCAAUCUAAGGUAUUCUGUUUAGCAGCCCGAAUAAUGGACUAAGACAGACGCCUAACAUAUGAUCUAUCCUAGAUAAUGCUCUCUUCGCAUUCAGGAAGAAUGUAUAUUCUGCUUCUGAAUGGAAAAAAACAAAAUCAGGAUCAGGCACGGUGGCGCAUAAGGCCAGGAGUUUGAGACGUCUAGGCAACACAGCAAGAUCCAUUUGGUCCAAAGUAUAGUUCAAGUCUAAUGUUCGCUUAUUGAUUUUCUGUCUUGAUGAUCUACUGUUUGUUCUAAGUGGGGUGCUGAAGCCCCGUGCUAUUAUUGUAUUGCUGCCUAUUUCUCUCUUUGUGUCUGUUAAUAUUUGCCUUACAUAUUUUGGUUCUCUGGUGUUGGGCACAUAUAUAUUUACAAUUGUUAGUCCUCUUGAUGAAUUAACUCCUUUAUCAUUAUAUAAUGAUCUACUUUGUCUGUUUGUCAAUUUUUGACUUAGUCUAUUUUGUGUGAUAUAAAUAUGGCUACCUUGCUCUCUUUUGUUUUCUUUUUGCAUGGAAUAUCUUUUUCACUUUCAGUUUACAUGUGUCCUUAAAGCUGAAGUGAGUCUCUUGUAGGUAGCAUAUAGUUGAGGGGAGGGGGGUCUUCUUUUUUUUGUUGUUGCUGUUUGUUUGAUAGGGUCUUAAUCUGUCACCCAGGUUGGAGUGCAGUGGUAUGAUCACAGCUUACUGUAACCUUGAACUCCUGGACUCAAGCAAUUCUCUUGCCUCAGCCUCCCGGGUAGCUAGAGGUACAGGCAUACACCACCGUACUGAGCUAAUUAUUUUAUUAUUAUUAUUAUUAUUAUUUUUUUUUUUAGAGAAAGGGUCUCAUUGUGUUGCCUAGACUGGUCUCAAACUCCUGGCUUCAAGCCAUCCUCCUGCCUUGGCCUCCCAAAGUGCUAAGAUUACAGACAUGAGCCACCUGGCUCUGUUUUUUUUUUUUUUUUUUUUUUUUUUAGUCCAUUCAGCCACUGUAUGUCUUUUGAUUGGAGCAUUUAAUUCAUUUACACUCAAUUAAUGAUAGGUUUUCAGGUGCUGGUUCCAUGGCUCUUCCUGAGCCGAAAAUAAGGAAACUCCAUAGACCUUGUCCACUGGAACUCGUUCCCAUCUACCCUCCACUCUAUCCAGGGUGAUGGAUCUCUGCAGUAAGUGGAAGAGUUCUUCAUGGCCCCCAAGGUUAUAUCCAUCUAGAACUUCAGCACGUAAUUUCAUCUGGAAAUAGUGCCUUUGCGGAUAUAAGUUAGGUAAAACUGAAGAUGAGAUCAUACUGGAUUAGGAUGGGAUCUAAAUCCAAUGAAAAUGUCUUCAUAAAAAACAGGAAAGAACCCAUAGAAACACAAGGAAGAAGGUCAUGUGAAGAUGGAGGCAGAGAUUGGAGGGAUGCAGCCACCGGCCCAGGAAUGCCAGCAGCCACCCAGAAGCUGGAAGGAAAUGAGGGAUUCUCUCCUAGAACCUUUAGAGAGAACAUGGUCCUGUGAACAGCUUGAUUUUGGACUUGCCCAUAGCUUGUAUACUCUUACUUUGGAUACAAUUUUAUCCAAACUUGGCUAAACAGUUUCUCAGCCUAUGGAAAAUUUAAAAUGGAGAAGAUUCAACUCGAUUCUUACAGAUUCAAAGCAAGAAAAUGAUGGGAACAUAGGAGGAGACCAAGAAAGCCUAUAAAAAGCAAAAAUAUGAAGUGAACAUUGUGGUAGCUUUAAGAUGUUUAGUGUAGCUGCAGGCACCCUAUACACAUGAAAACCCCCAAGGGGAAUCCCCAUAUCACAGUGUAGUGUGAUAUUUGACAUUCGUGAUCAUCUAGAGAUGUACAGAAAAGGUGAAUCUGUGUUCUGUAUAUUCUGCCUAAGGCAAAGAAAUGUUUAGCUCUCUUUAAAAUAGUUCCAUAAUUUUUUCUAAAAAGCUUUGCUUGAAAACUGUAAGCUUCCCAUAUCUGGAGCAUUUCACUUUAAAUAUUUGGAUAAAUAUGUUAUCUUCUUACUUGGACAUUUCAUGUGUUUAGGGAUUGUCUUCUAAAUUCUUCCUAAUUCAUAUAGCUGCUAACACUUCCCGCAGAGCUAAACCAUUACAGAUAUGAAAUAAAGACCUAUUGAUUUGACUUACUUUUACUUGUAAAACCUUCUGAGUGUUAUAACCUCAUUUAAUCUUUCAGCAUUUACAGUUUCAAGAGUUUGUGUCACAAUUAGAAGAAUUCAGCUGCACCUCCAAGUGACAGCAGUUGCUCUGGUUGGUGGGUGAUCUCAGGAGGCUUGAGAAUUGCUUUGUCUGUGAGGGAAGUAAGACAUUUUCAGAGCCCCACUUUAGAAGGUGUGAACUGGCUAGAUAAUGAACCCCAGGGCUAACGCUGCUAUAGCAGUGGGAAGGAGGUGAUGGGUUUUCAGUUUGGACCUCAAACAUCAAUACCCUCCUGGUACGGGGAGGAACAGAGUCCCUCCUUUACUUCUCCAUUAGAAAGAAUGAGAUGGCAAGACAAUGAAACAGGCAAAGUGAACAGAGAUGCAAGACAAAAUUCAGGUGAGAGAGCCAGAGCAUCACUCAGCCAUUCCUGACAUGUAAAACAGGCAACUAGAAAUUUGCAGAAAGGAAGCGAAGUCUCCAUAAAGAUGUUUUUAAAGUGAGCUUGAAGUAUUUGGAGACAAUUCAGUGUUACAUAAAAUCUGCAAAUCUCUGGAUAAAGAAGCAGAGAUCCCAGCAUGGGACAAAUGGAGCCUCAAAAGUGGGAAGAAGACAGAGAAGACCAGGGCAGAAUGCAUCUCUUCCUUUCUCUUGGCUUUCCUGGAUAAGGACUGCAUCAUUCCUGUGGAAGGACAGGCCAUCAGCUCCGAAACACUGUAUGUAUUUUCCAGUAUAUACUGCUAGCUGUGUGAUGUUGGGAAAAUUUGUUACCCUGUCUAACCCCCACUUCCCUCAUCUGUAAAAUGGAAAUAAUGAUAGUACCUACCUAUCUCAUAGGUGGCAACUACAAGGGGCAGCACACUCAGGGAAUUAAGGAAGUUUCAGUGAACAUCAACUUUAUGAACACAGUGUUCAUAAAGGCAGGUCAGUGCAGUGGUUUGGGAGCCAGGAGAAGCACGUGGGCCGGAGUGUGCCUGCAGGAGACAAGGUCAGAGAUGUUGCUAAUAAUGGAGAAUAAAGGAUGCAUUCUCAUUACUGACCUUGGAGUCGUUCAUUCAUUCCCAGAAUGUGUUUUGUCAGCUUACUAAAACACUAAGUUAAAUAAUCCCAGGUUUUGUUUAUU
rnacentral:lncRNA from 10 species